rnacentral:rRNA from 1 species
GAUGAACGCUGGCGGCGUGCCUAAUACAUGCAAGUCGAGCGAAUGGAUUAAGAGCUUGCUCUUAUGAAGUUAGCGGCGGACGGGUGAGUAACACGUGGGUAACCUGCCCAUAAGACUGGGAUAACUCCGGGAAACCGGGGCUAAUCCCGGAUAACAUUUUGAGACGCAUGGUUCGAAAUUGAAAGGCGGCUUCGGCGGUCACUUAUGGAUGGACCCGCGUCGCGUUAGCUAGUUGGUGAGGUAACGAAUCACCAAGGCAACGACGCGGAGCCGACCUGAGAAGGUGAUCGGCCACGCUGGGACUGAGACACGGCCCAGACUCCUACGGGAGGCAGCAGUAGGGAAUCUUCCGCAAUGGACGAAAGUCUGACGGAGCAACGCCGCGUGAGUGAUGAAGGCUUUCGGGUCGUAAAACUCUGUUGUUAGGGAAGAACAAGUGCUAGUUGAAUAAGCUGGCACCUUGACGGUACCUAACCAGAAAGCCACGGCUAACUACGUGCCAGCAGCCGCAGUAA